AGAGCACAAACAGGAGCAACAGAGGGAGAAGAAGAAGCAGGCUUUCCACUGAGCAGGGAGCCCAAUACAGGACUCGAUCCCAGAACCCUGGGAUUGUGACCUGAGCAGAAGGCAGCCGCUUAACUGACCAAGCCACUCAGAUGUAGGCACUUCUCAUAUAGGCAACUGGACGCAUGGCCGAGGGUGGGGAAUGAUGCAGUCAUACCCGGCCUUAUUCUGAAAACAGUCCUUGCUGUGAAACACUACAGGUGCAGGCUGCCUUCUCCAACAGAUGCAGUGAGAGAAGCCCUGAAGCUGAACAGUGUGGUCUCUCCCUUUCCCAGGCAACACUCCCAGCGUCCUCAGGUCUUCAGGUUCCUUUCUUCCCUCCGUCGAAACAGUGGCGGCAGCAGCAACUUUUGCACAUAGUUCUUGGGAGGAACAGGUGUAAACCACUGACCUCACAUGCAAAAGCCAGGUUUCCAUGUUCCAGGCAAGGUGAGCGGCACAAUCAGGAGACGGUGUUUUAUGGAAUGACUAGAGCGAUACCCGGUGAAUGCAGUCAGCGGGACUUACUUCUCUGGCACUCUCAGGUUCCUAGAGUUGAGUGAACUUAACGUCCAUGGAGCUCUAGAGUCACCAGAACAUCCACGUAAACUUUUAAUCAGACGGUUGGGCCUAGACACAUGUCGAAAAUUUUAGGGGAACUAUACAAUUUAAGCUAGUAUCCGGACAAGAUAAUGUGAGAAACAGUGAGAGAGAGGAGGGGGUUGCUUAAACAGUCAACAUUAAAGUAACUUUAGAUAUUACAGUUAAAAAUAGUUUUUUAAGUUAAGUAGUUUAGUUUAUGAUAUCUU